AAGCCUACGGGGGGCAGCAGUGGGGAAUUUUGGACAAUGGGGGAAACCCUGAUGCAGCGACGCCGCGUGAGUGAAGAAGUAUCUCGGUACGUAAAGCCCUAUCAGCAGGGAAGAAGAUGACGGUACCUGACUAAGAAGCCCCGGCUAAAUACGUGCCAGCAGCCGCGGUAAUACGUAUGGGGCAAGCGUUAUCCGGAUUUACUGGGUGUAAAGGGAGCGCAGGCGGCCUGGCAAGCCUGAUGUGAAAUACCGGGGCCCAACCCCGGGGCUGCAUUGGGAACUGCCAGGCUGGAGUGCCGGAGAGG
rnacentral:rRNA from 1 species